UGGGGAAUUUUGGACAAUGGGCGAAAGCCUGAUCCAGCAAUGCCGCGUGUGUGAAGAAGGCCUUCGGGUUGUAAAGCACUUUUGUCCGGAAAGAAAUCCUUGGCUCUAAUACAGUCGGGGGAUGACGGUACCGGAAGAAUAAGCACCGGCUAACUACGUGCCAGCAGCCGCGGUAAUACGUAGGGUGCAAGCGUUAAUCGGAAUUACUGGGCGUAAAGCGUGCGCAGGCGGUUUGCUAAGACCGAUGUGAAAAUCCCCGGGCUCAACCUGGGAACUGCAUGGUGACUGGCAGGCUAGAGUAUGGCAGAGGGGGGUGAGAAUUCCACGUGUAGCAGUGAAAUGCGUAGAGAUGUGGAGGAAUACCGAUGGCGAAGGCAGCCCC
rnacentral:rRNA from 1 species